rnacentral:tRNA from 1 species
GCCUGAGUGGCUCAGUCAGUUAAGCAUCUGACUUCUGCUCAGGUCAUGAUCUCACACUUUGUGAGUUCGAGCCCCAUGUCAGGCU